rnacentral:rRNA from 1 species
UGGGGAAUAUUGCACAAUGGAGGGAACUCUGAUGCAGCGACGCCGCGUGAACGAAGAAGGCUUUCGAGUCGUAAAGUUCUUUUAUAUGGGAAGAUAAUGACGGUACCAUAAGAAAAAGCCCCGGCUAACUACGUGCCAGCAGCCGCGGUAAUACGUAGGGGGCUAGCGUUGUCCGGAAUCACUGGGCGUAAAGGGUUCGCAGGCGGAAAUGCAAGUCAGGUGUAAAAGGCAGUAGCUUAACUACUGUAAGCAUUUGAAACUGCAUAUCUUGAGAAGAGUAGAGGUAAGUGGAAUUUUUAGUGUAGCGGUGAAAUGCGUAGAUAUUAGGAGGAAUACCGGUGGCGAAGGCGACUUUCUGGACUUGAACUGACGCUGAGGCACGAAAGCGUGGGGAGCAAACAGG